ensembl:lncRNA
UUUUAUUUUGUUGAUGGGUGUUUCCUUUUUGUUGGCAGGGUUGUGUUCUUUCCCAGACAUCGCUUUUCGUUGUCCUCUUAACUCACCCCUCCAACAGCAGGCAUGUCUUGCUCAGCCCAACAAUGCACUUCCCUCAGUCAUGGCCCCAGCUGCCCCCAUCACACUCAGGAGUUCACUGCCCUCUUCCUUCAUGAAGGAGCAGCAAGCCUACAUGCCUGCGGGGUGAUUUAGCCUGCAAACAAAAAUAGAAGCUUGUGAAUGAUGUUUUACAGUGGUCUUAGUGAGACACAGAGAACACCAAGGAGUCCUGCUUCAGGUAAACAUCUCUGCUGCAUGUGGGCUGGGGGAAAGCACUGCUCCCUGGAGCGGAUGCAGUUGGUGUACACAGUGACACAGCCAACAAGGCCAAAGUACCCACUUCACUAUCAAUAAAUCAGGCAGUCUCAUGUGAUGAAAACAGGCACUUUCCACAGAGCUUCCUGGGUAGCACCGGGGUUUCUCUCCUCAGCUACCUCCCAUUUUGUACCACCACGCAGCAGCAGCGCGAGGACUAAACCAAAUGCAAACUGAACUUCAUCUUGUUUAAGGGCCUGUUCCUGUGGGCUCCUGAGGCGUGCAGGCUGCAAAGUUCAGGUCAGAAACACUGCUGGCAGUAUGUGUGCACUGGGAACAGACUGGCCCAAGCACUCAGGUGACGAGAUGACUAACAAGGCAGAGCCCAGCCUCACCUUUCUGAAUGGCGCUCAGCACAGCGCAGCACUCCAAUCUUCUUUGGAAGAGAUUGCCAAAGAGAUGCCGUUCAACUCCAGAUUAUCUUCAGUUUGCAGUUCCAGUGUUGGAAAUCUUUUUUCUCAUUUGGUCUCACGCUUUCAUGCAAGCACUGCGCAUGAAGGAGCUGCAGGAGCUGACAGGAGGGGCUCCAUUCCAAUACUGCAACUUCCAAAACGACAACUUGAUGGGUACGGAGAGAAGCAGAGAAUGACUCUCCUGAUUUACUCUGGUAGCUACAACAGAUGGAUCAUAUAAUCCAGUGCAAACAGCAGGCAAGUUCCAUGCUUGCCGUAAUAAAGGACACAAUGACCUCUAGGUAAAAAUCCCAGGAACAGCAAGCACACAAAUUUCAACCUGCACAACUUUAAUUCCAUGCCAGGGCUCAAGUUGAAGAUAACAGUAUAGACAAACACUCUGGACAGAUUAAUUCAGACCAUAAUUCACGGCAUGCACAAGCCAAAAUGCGGUGUAAACCUACUGCCUUUUAACACUCCUCACUGUAAGGCCUAUUUUUGCUGACGAAGUAGGUUUUCAGAGAGAUCUCUGAGUCUUCUGCAACUUAACGCAGCCUCCUUUAGCAGAGAGAAAGUAGUUCAGGUUCAAGCUGCAGUGCAGAAUGUCCUAGCAUUGACCUGCAAAGGCAAGGCUUCUCACAACAGAGCUACAGUGGUGUUCUGUAACCAUGUAAUGAUUCAUCACAUUAUUGCUGCUAUCUCCCUCUUCAUCCUUGCUCCCCUCUCACUCCACAAAGGUAUUUUAACCCUAAGAUUUAUUCGGUUUGCAAAGACUGCUCAGUUUUUCAAUGGAAAGGCAACACCAGCAUCUUGGUACAAAGGUACAGACUUCCUGAGUGCACACAUGCUCUUUAUAUAAUGAACUACAAAACUCCCUGCUCCUUCUUCUGAUUAAGAAGUCCUCAAAGAGCUCAGUUCCACACACUCCAAAUACUGAUGGGCUGCAAGGACUAUAAGUGUUCAUCUCUGUCCAGAAGAAAUGAAUUAUUCAGAAG